CCUACGGGUGGCUGCAGUGAGGAAUUUUGCGCAAUGGGGGAAACCCUGACGCAGCAACGCCGCGUGAGUGAUGAAGGCCUUCGGGUCGUAAAGCUCUGUCAAGUGGGAAGAAUCUGCUCUGUGAUAACACCACGGGGCACUGACGGUACCACUGAAGGAAGCACCGGCUAACUCCGUGCCAGCAGCCGCGGUAAUACGGGGGGUGCUAGCGUUAUUCGGAAUCAUUGGGCGUAAAGGGCGCGUAGGCGGUCUUUUAAGUCAGAUGUGAAAGCCCUCGGCUUAACCGAGGAAGUGCAUUUGAUACUAAGAGACUUGAGUAUGGGAGAGGGAAGCGGAAUUCCUGGUGUAGCGGUGAAAUGCGUAGAUAUCAGGAGGAACACCGGUGGCGAAGGCGGCUUCCUGGACCAAUACUGACGCUGAGGCGCGAAGGCGUGGGGAGCAAACAGGAUUAGAUACCCGAGUAGUC
rnacentral:rRNA from 2 species